rnacentral:rRNA from 1 species
AGAGUUUGAUCAUGGCUCAGGAUGAACGCUAGCUACAGGCUUAACACAUGCAAGUCGAGGGGCAGCAUUUUAGUUUGCUUGCAAACUGAAGAUGGCGACCGGCGCACGGGUGAGUAACACGUAUCCAACCUGCCGAUAACUCUGGGAUAGCCUUUCGAAAGAAAGAUUAAUACCGGAUAGCAUACGAAUAUCGCAUGAUAUUUUUAUAAAGUAAUUU